rnacentral:rRNA from 1 species
UACGGAGGGUGCAAGCGUUAAUCGGAAUUACUGGGCGUAAAGCGUGCGUAGGCGGUUCGUUAAGUCUGUUGUGAAAGCCCCGGGCUCAACCUGGGAAUGGCAAUGGAUACUGGCGAGCUAGAGUGUGUCAGAGGAUGGUGGAAUUCCCGGUGUAGCGGUGAAAUGCGUAGAGAUCAGGAGGAACAUCAAUGGCGAAGGCAGCUCUCUGGACUGUAACUGACGCUGAGGCGCGAAAGCGUGGGUAGCAAACAGG